AACGGGUGAGUAAUACAUAAGUAACCUGCCCUAGACAGGGGGAUAACUAUUGGAAACGAUAGCUAAGACCGCAUAGGUACGGACACUGCAUGGUGCCCGUAUUAAAAGUGCCUCAAAGCACUGGUAGAGGAUGGACUUAUGGCGCAUUAGCUGGUUGGCGGGGUAACGGCCCACCAAGGCGACGAUGCGUAGCCGACCUGAGAGGGUGACCGGCCACACUGGGACUGAGACACGGCCCAGACUCCUACGGGAGGCAGCAUG
rnacentral:rRNA from 1 species